CACAAAUACAACGGAAUUACUCAGAAAAACCUCCCCUACAACAUAUUUAAGUAGCGAUUAAAUCGAAGGUAAUAGAAUG